CAGCCGCCACGGUAAUACAGAGGGUGCGAGCGUUAAUCGGAUUUACUGGGCGUAAAGCGUGCGUAGGCGGCUUUUUAAGUCGGAUGUGAAAUCCCUGAGCUUAACUUAGGAAUUGCAUUCGAUACUGGGAAGCUAGAGUAUGGGAGAGGAUGGUAGAAUUCCAGGUGUAGCGGUGAAAUGCGUAGAGAUCUGGAGGAAUACCGAUGGCGAAGGCAGCCAUCUGGCCUAAUACUGACGCUGAGGUACGAAAGCAUGGGGAGCAAACAGGAUUAGAGACCCCAGUAGUCCCUGUCUCUUAUAC
rnacentral:rRNA from 1 species